CAAGGGGUAGUUUAAUAAAAAUAUUAGUUUUGGGAAUUAAUGAUAGGAGGUCACUCCUUCCCUUGA
rnacentral:tRNA from 1 species